GACGAACGCUGGCGGCGUGCCUAAUACAUGCAAGUUGAGCGCUGAAGGUUGGUACUUGUACCAACUGGAUGAGCAGCGAACGGGUGAGUAACGCGUGGGGAAUCUGCCUUUGAGCGGGGGACAACAUUUGGAAACGAAUGCUAAUACCGCAUAAAAACUUUAAACACAAGUUUUAAGUUUGAAAGGUGCAAUUGCAUCACUCAAAGAUGAUCCCGCGUUGUAUUAGCUAGUUGGUGAGGUAAAGGCUCACCAAGGCGAUGAUACAUAGCCGACCUGAGAGGGUGAUCGGCCACAUUGGGACUGAGACACGGCCCAAACUCCUACGGGAGGCAGCAGUAGGGAAUCUUCGGCAAUGGACGAAAGUCUGACCGAGCAACGCCGCGUGAGUGAAGAAGGUUUUCGGAUCGUAAAACUCUGUUGGUAGAGAAGAACGUUGGUGAGAGUGGAAAGCUCAUCAAGUGACGGGAACUACCCAGAAAGGGACGGCUAACUACGU
rnacentral:rRNA from 1 species